rfam:Erwinia mallotivora strain BT-MARDI contig_43, whole genome shotgun sequence.
CAGCCCGAUGACAACCAUCAUUAUUAUCACCACCAUUACCACAGGUAACGGUGCGGGCUGACGCAUACAGAGAAAAUAAAAAAGCCCGCACCUGAACAGUGCGGGUUUUUUUUUC